UCUCUCGUAGUUCAGUUGGUAGAGCAGCUGGCUGUUAACCAGUUUGUCGCACGUUCGAGUCGUGCCGAGAGAG
rnacentral:tRNA from 1 species